UUUGUGUCACGGCACAAAAUAAAAAAAAAUAAAAAAAAGAUAUCCUACAAGGCUACAUAACUUGGUUGGUGAAUUUUCCAAAAAAAAAAAAAAAACAGAUAAAAAAAAUAAAUAAAAAACUACUUUCUAAAACGAUACAAACAGCCCUUACAACGAAAUGUUCUAAACUGUUUUUUACAAGUCCUGUUCUCUUUUGUUUUGACCUGUUUCGACCUUCGAAUCUUAUGUGCAAUUUGAUUAAAAAAACGCAAAGUGAACCUUCUUCAUUGAGCUUCCCGAAAAUAAAAUAAAAAAAUUGAAUCUCAUUGUUUCAAGGAACCCUGUGUUUUCAUCGAUGAUGACUUCUCUCUCAUCUCUCCCAAAACCCAUCUCAGAAACCUCAAAAUUUCCCUCGAAUUUCAGUGAUCGCCCACCCAAUUCACAUGUUGUUCAGCAAAAUCUCUCAUUUUCAGGACUUGGGUCUCCGAGUUUUCGAAUUGGUUUCGUUGGACGAUCUUUGAGAAACAACAAAUGGAUUGUCAAAAGUUCAAAUGAAACUGAAGCUUUGGUCGAUUCUAGUCAGAUAUGUGAUCUCCCACUCUUGACUUGCUCAGAGGCUAUUGAAAGGUUGAGAAAAUGUCGAGAAAGCUACAAAAGCAAGCAGUGUUUUUUGGCUAUGUAUUCCAGCAGUUUUGGUGGAAUCACAACGGAUCCCGCGGCCAUGUUGAUCCCCAUGGAUGACCACAUGGUCCAUAGAGGGCAUGGUGUUUUCGAUACUGCCGCAAUUAUGGACGGAUAUCUCUACGAGUUGGACCAACACCUUGAUCGCUUCCUAAGGUCUGCAACCAUGGCCAAAAUAGGAAUCCCUUUUGGUAGGGAAAGCAUAAGAAGAAUACUCAUAAAAACCGUGAGUGUUUCCAAGUGUAAAAAAGGAUCACUAAGAUACUGGCUUUCAGCAGGACCUGGUGAUUUCCAACUAUCUCCAUCUGGCUGUCAUCAACCAGCUCUUUAUGCUAUUGUCAUCAAAGAUCAAUCAGCAUCCAAUCAAAAGGGGGUCAAAGUAGUAACUUCAUCAAUCCCAAUAAAGCCUCCACAAUUUGCUGCCAUGAAGAGUGUGAAUUACCUUCCAAAUGUGCUCUCAAAGAUGGAAGCUGAAGAAAAUGGUGGGUAUGCAGCGAUUUGGUUGGACGGUGAUGGGUUCAUUGCUGAAGGGCCUAACAUGAAUGUGGCUUUUGUUACAAAGGAGAAGGAACUUCUGAUGCCCCAUUUUGAUAAAAUUCUUAGUGGGUGUACAGCUAAGAGAGUUUUGAUUCUUGCGGAGAGCCUGGUGAAGGAGGGGAAGCUUCGGGGAAUAAGAGUCGGAAAUGUGACUGUGGAUGAAGGGAAAAAGGCGGAUGAGAUGAUGUUGAUUGGCAGUGGAGUUCUUGUUCAUUCAGUUGUACAGUGGGAUGAGCAGGUUAUUGGGGAUGGCAAAGAAGGUCCUGUGACUCAGGCACUCUUAAAUCUCAUUGUCGAGGACAUGAAAUCCGGCCCACCCACCGUCCGAAUUCCUGUUCCUUACUAAGCCACUUUGCUUCCCUUGGUGCGGCGUGAUCAUGACUUUAAGAAGCCUGAAAGUUGUUCUAAAGCUGUUUCAUACUUGUAUGAAGCUCAAGGGAAGUCCUAUACGAAAACGGUCCACUUGCUGUCGAAAACAUUGUCGAUAGAUGUGUGCUUCGUUAGUGGCCACCCGCCAAAAUAACGAACACUAUCUAUGAAUCCGGCGCUGGGAAGAAAGCUCUUUCUGCCUCUGCUUGUGGGGGAAGAUAAUAGAACAACUUUUAUUCAGAUCCUACAGAAAUUAUUUUGCUCUCUUUUACUUAUUUUUUCGAGGCAGUUGUGAAUAUUCUACCUUACAAUCAGCAUUUUAGUUUGCCUUUUAUUAGUUUCCUCCCCUAUCCCAUUUACUCUAUUUUUUU